rnacentral:rRNA from 1 species
AGUGAACGCUGGCGGUAGGCCUAACACAUGCAAGUCGAACGGCAGCACAGUAAGAGCUUGCUCUUACGGGUGGCGAGUGGCGGACGGGUGAGGAAUACAUCGGAAUCUACUUUUUCGUGGGGGAUAACGUAGGGACACUUACGCUAAUACCGCAUACGACCUACGGGUGAAAGCAGGGGAUCUUCGGACCUUGCGCGAUUGAAUGAGCCGAUGUCGGAUUAGCUAGUUGGCGGGGUAAAGGCCCACCAAGGCGACGAUCCGUAGCUGGUCUGAGAGGAUGAUCAGCCACACUGGAACUGAGACACGGUCCAGACUCCUACGGGAGGCAGCAGUGGGGAAUAUUGGACAAUGGGCGCAAGCCUGAUCCAGCCAUACCGCGUGGGUGAAGAAGGCCUUCGGAUUGUAAAGCCCUUUUGUUGGGAAAGAAAAGCAGCAGGUUAAUACCCCGCUGUUCUGACGGUACCCAAAGAAUAAGCACCGGCUAACUUCGUG